AUUCUGAGAGAAUAAUUUCGGGGUGGGACCCAGGGAUUUGCAUGUUAAGAACAGCCCAGGUGACCAUGAAGCCGACUGAUGGAUGUCCCAUGAACACGAAAUGGGGAAGUAGGGCAGAACCAUUAAAACUGCUUAUAAUCAAGUCAGGUAAACAAAAACAAAACCCUCUCAGAAUAGCAAUGGGUUCAUCACAGUAUGUUCACUAUAAUGAAAAACACUAACUUUCUGGCUUCAUUCACUGGAUUUCUCUGCUCUCUCUCUCUGCCUCUGUUUUCACUAGGCUUCAGCAAUGGGCCUGCAGCAAACACAUGAGCAUUCCAGGUUGACUUCUAAAGGUGGAAAGGCCCAGCGGGUGUCCCUUUGAAAUCUCUGAGGUUUGAAAGCAGUCUCUCCCAAGAAGAACUUAGGACAGUUCCUCUGUCUGUUUUGUGGGGGUUGGAGGGGGAGAGUUGUUCAGGAGUAGCCAGCUUAUUUCCUACCCAUGCUCCUCAGGCUCAAAUCCUGCCCCACCCUGCAGCCCCAGUCCUAGCCCAUUUAAGACCCCUGUUUUGUGUGUGGUUAUACAGGAUUUGAACACUGAAUAUUAACCAUGGAAUAGCAGACCGUUAAGACUGACUUGCUUUAUUUUCCUCUGCGGAGUUAGGUUCCACUUUGCAGUUGGGGUUUGUAAUGUAACGAAUAAUGGGAAACUGGUCUAGUUAUGGGAGUUAAAGGAGAGCAGAGGCCUGUAGUUGGCCUGCCCCCCCCCCCGCCCCACCAUCCCUCAAAGUUGAGACCACUGAGUUGACCAUCCUCUUAAUUUCUCUCACUUUUCCCCCAGAUUUGUUUCAUCCUGUACUGGACUUCUCAAACUGUACAUAAUUAAAAAUACAUAGCUUUACAUUUUUACAAACUUAAUACCUGAAUAUAUGCUUGUUGUCAAAUACCCAAACUUCACAGAAAGUUUUACAGAGUAAAAAGUGGAAGUUCAUGCCCACAUCCAAUCUCAUUCCUUCCCCAGUGGCAGCAGUUUGUGUGUCUAUUUCAAAUUAAAUUAGCAUACCAUAUGUUCUCUGAAAUGUGGGAAGUGAGCCUUUUUUCUUAGGGUAACCUAAAACCUACAGGACAAACUGGAUCAGCUUAUUUACUCUAUUGUGAUGGCUACGUUAAUAUUUAAAGUACAUAGUGAUAUGUGCCAUUGUGACCUUUCUGCUCAUCAAACAAUACUGCAUAAGUGUAGUUAAUACUUACGAUCAUUCUCAAGAGGCUUAAAAAUGUAAAUGUAUUUCCUUAUAUUUCACUAACAGUGAAACUUUUACCAUUUCUGAAAGCUGUCUUUCUGUUUAUUUUGCAGCUAAUCUCUUUGGAUUAAAAGAGGUUUCCAAAUCUGUGGUCAAUAUCUAAGGUUACUCAAAGCAGUAUUUUUAAACUGUUUUGGUCUCUUGAAAGAUUGGUCUCACUAAUUUUUUUAUCACCAUCAUACACUCUUCUGGAAUCAUAUAAUGAAGAUUUGAUGACAAGGAAUAUAGAAUUCAAAUUUUAGUAUAUCUGUUUGUAUUUUGUGUAUUUAGCAUAUUUACAUUUAUGUGUAAACAGAUGGUACAUUCGGUUCCCAUAAUUUAAUUAUUACUGUUCAAGCAUAUCUAAGGAGUAAAAUAGUUUCAGCAAAAUAAGAGAGGCUUUGUAAAUCUUAUAUUUAAUUUCGAUAGGGAAAUAGGCAAUGAUACCAUUACUUGGUGAAUUAUUAUUUUAACUUUGAACAUCUUUGAGGCACAAAAAAUUCAAGAAUUUUUACAAAUACAAACUUUAAAAAAAGAAGACACACUCUGAAGGAAUUAGGCUUGGAAAGUCCUCAAAUCUAGACUAAUAAAAGGUCGUAAAUAUCUCCUGGGACCAAAACAAAAAUACCACCAAAUGAUCUGUUUCAGAAGGAUGAAUAGAUAGUUGCUCACACAACUAAAAUCUAA